GAAACUGGAUGUAGACCCGAUGUCGUUACGUUUACCACACUGAUGAACGGUCUUUGUUGUGAGGGUCGAGUUCUCCAAGCGCUAGCUCUUGUUGAUCGUAUGGUAGAAGAAGGUCAUCAACCUUACGGAACAAUUAUAAAUGGAUUGUGUAAGAUGGGUGACACUGAGUCUGCCUUGAAUCUGCUUAGUAAGAUGGAAGAAACCCACAUCAAAGCCCAUGUUGUCAUCUAUAAUGCCAUCAUCGAUCGCCUUUGCAAAGACGGACAUCAUAUCCAUGCUCAAAACCUUUUCACUGAAAUGCAUGACAAAGGAAUUUUCCCCGAUGUUAUUACCUACAGCGGUAUGAUAGACUCUUUUUGUCGCUCUGGUAGAUGGACUGAUGCGGAGCAAUUGCUGCGUGAUAUGAUCGAAAGGCAAAUCAAUCCUGAUGUUGUAACUUUCAGUGCAUUGAUCAAUGCAUUAGUCAAAGAAGGAAAGGUCUCCGAGGCUGAAGAAAUAUACGGUGACAUGCUUCGUAGAGGUAUAUUUCCUACCACAAUCACAUAUAACUCAAUGAUCGAUGGAUUUUGCAAGCAGGAUCGUCUAAAUGAUGCGAAGCGCAUGUUAGAUUCGAUGGCUAGCAAGAGCUGCUCUCCGGAUGUAGUCACUUUUAGCACCCUCAUCAAUGGCUAUUGUAAGGCUAAAAGGGUUGACAAUGGAAUGGAGAUUUUCUGUGAGAUGCAUCGAAGAGGAAUUGUUGCUAAUACAGUUACUUACACU
rnacentral:sRNA from 1 species